UACGAGGGGUCCAAGCGUUGUUCGGAAUCAUUGGGCGUAAAGCGGGUGUAGGUGGACUAGUCAGUCAGAAGUGAAAGCCCUGGGCUCAACCCAGGAAGUGCUUUUGAUACUGCUAGUCUUGAGUAUGGGAGAGGAAAGUGGAAUUUCAGGUGUAGUGGUGAAAUACGUAGAUAUCUGAAGGAACUCCGGUGGGGAAGCCG
rnacentral:rRNA from 1 species